rnacentral:rRNA from 1 species
GAUGAACGCUGGCGGCGUGCCUAAUACAUGCAAGUCGAUCGAACAGAUGAGGAGCUUGCUCCUCUGACGUUAGCGGCGGACGGGUGAGUAACACGUGGAUAACCUACCUAUAAGACUGGGAUAACUUCGGGAAACCGGAGCUAAUACCGGAUAAUAUAUUGAACCGCAUGGUUCAAUAGUGAAAGACGGUUUUGCUGUCACUUAUAGAUGGAUCCGCGCCGCAUUAGCUAGUUGGUAAGGUAACGGCUUACCAAGGCAACGAUGCGUAGCCGACCUGAGAGGGUGAUCGGCCACACUGGAACUGAGACACGGUCCAGACUCCUACGGGAGGCAGCAGUAGGGAAUCUUCCGCAAUGGGCGAAAGCCUGACGGAGCAACGCCGCGUGAGUGAUGAAGGUCUUCGGAUCGUAAAACUCUGUUAUUAGGGAAGAACAAAUGUGUAAGUAACUAUGCACGUCUUGACGGUACCUAAUCAGAAAGCCACGGCUAACUACGUG